GACGAACCGUGCGAACGUUAUUCGGAAUCACUGGCUUAAAGCGCGUGUAGGCGGGGCGGCACGUCGGUCGCUGAAAGCCCCCGGCUCAACCGGGGAACGGGCGCCGAUACGACCGCCCUGGAGGGACGUAGGGGGGCCUGGAACUUCCGGUGGAGCGGUGAAAUGCGUUGAGAUCGGAAGGAACGCCCGUGGCGAAAGCGAGGCCCUGGACGUCUGCUGACGCUGAGACGCGAAAGCCAGGGGAGCGAACGGG
rnacentral:rRNA from 1 species